rnacentral:rRNA from 1 species
GGAUGACCUGGCGGCAUGCUCACACCAUGCAGUCGAACGGCAGCACGGGGGCACCCUGGUGGCGAGUGGCGAACGGGUGAGUAACGCAUCGGAACGUGCCCAGUAGUGGGGGAUAACCCGGCGAAAGCCGGGCUAAUACCGCAUACGACCUAUGGGUGAAAGCGGGGGACCGUAAGGCCUCGCGCUAUUGGAGCGGCCGAUGUCUGAUUAGCUAGUUGGCGGGGUAAAGGCCCACCAAGGCGACGAUCAGUAGCUGGUCUGAGAGGACGACCAGCCACACUGGGACUGAGACACGGCCCAGACUCCUACGGGAGGCAGCAGUGGGGAAUUUUGGACAAUGGGC